rnacentral:rRNA from 1 species
UACAGAGGUCUCAAGCGUUGUUCGGAUUCAUUGGGCGUAAAGCGUGCGUAGGCGGUUGCGCAAGACAGGUGUGAAAUCCCCGGGCUUAACCUGGGAAUUGCACUUGUGACUGUGCGGCUGGAGUGCGGCAGAGGGGGAUGGAAUUCCGCGUGUAGCAGUGAAAUGCGUAGAUAUGCGGAGGAACACCGAUGGCGAAGGCAGUCCCCUGGGCCUGCACUGACGCUCAUGCACGAAAGCGUGGGGAGCAAACAGG